rnacentral:tRNA from 1 species
GUAGAUGUAGUUUAAACAAAACACUAGAUUGUGAAUUUAGAAAUAGAGACUAGCAACCUCUUAUCUACC